rnacentral:rRNA from 1 species
GACGAACGCUGGCGGCGUGCCUAAUACAUGCAAGUAGAACGCUGAAGCUUGGUGCUUGCACCGAGCGGAUGAGUUGCGAACGGGUGAGUAACGCGUAGGUAACCUGCCUGGUAGCGGGGGAUAACUAUUGGAAACGAUAGCUAAUACCGCAUAAUAGUAGAUGUUGCAUGACAUUUGCUUAAAAGGUGCAAUUGCAUCACUACCAGAUGGACCUGCGUUGUAUUAGCUAGUUGGUGAGGUAACGGCUCACCAAGGCAACGAUACAUAGCCGACCUGAGAGGGUGAUCGGCCACACUGGGACUGAGACACGGCCCAGACUCCUACGGGAGGCAGCAGUAGGGAAUCUUCGGCAAUGGACGGAAGUCUGACCGAGCAACGCCGCGUGAGUGAAGAAGGUUGUCGGAUCGUAAAGCUCUGUUGUAAGAGAAGAACGAGUGUGAGAGUGGAAAGUUCACACUGUGACGGUAUCUUACCAGAAAGGGACGGCUAACUACGUG